GAUGAAGAACGUAGCAAAAUGCGAUAAGUAAUGUGAAUUGCAGAAUUCAGUGAAUCAUCGAAUCUUUGAACGCACAUUGCGCCCGCUGGUAUUCCGGCGGGCAUGCCUGUUCGAGCGUCAUUUCAACCCUCAAGCCCCCGGGUUUGGUGUUGGGGAUCGGCUCUGCCCUUCUGGGCGGUGCCGCCCCCGAAAUACAUUGGCGGUCUCGCUGCAGCCUCCAUUGCGUAGUAGCUAACACCUCGCAACUGGAACGCGGCGCGGCCAUGCCGUAAAACCCCAACUUCUGAAUGUUGACCUCGGAUCAGGUAGGAAUAACCGCUGAACUUAAGCAUAUCAAUAAGCGGAGGA
rnacentral:misc_RNA from 1 species